GUUUAGCGGCGGACGGGUGAGUAACACGUGGAUAACCUACCUAUAAGANUGGGAUAACUUUCGGGAAACCGGAGCUAAUACCGGAUAAUAUUUUGAACNGCAUGGUUCAAAAGUGAAAGACGGUCUUGCUGUCACUUAUAGAUGGAUCCGCGCUGCAUUAGCUAGUUGGUAAGGUAACGGCUUACCAAGGCAACGAUGCAUAGCCGACCUGAGAGGGUGAUCGGCCACACUGGAACUGAGACACGGUCCAGACUCCUACGGGAGGCAGCAGUAGGGAAUCUUCCGCAAUGGGCGAAAGCCUGACGGAGCAACGCCGCGUGGAGUGAUGAAGGUCUUCGGAUCGUAAAACUCUGUUAUUAGGGAAGAACAUAUGUGUAAGUAACUGUGCACAUCUUGACGGUACCUAAUCAGAAAGCCACGGCUAACUACGUGCCAGCAGCCGCGGUAAUACGUAGGUGGCAAGCGUUAUCCGGAAUUAUUGGGCGUAAAGCGCGCGUAGGCGGUUUUUUAAGUCUGAUGUGAAAGCCCACGGCUCAACCGUGGAGGGUCAUUGGAAACUGGAAAACUUGAGUGCAGAAGAGGAAAGUGGAAUUCCAUGUGUAGCGGUGAAAUGCGCAGAGAUAUGGAGGAACACCAGUGGCGAAGGCGACUUUCUGGUCUGUAACUGACGCUGAUGUGCGAAAGCGUGGGGAUCAAACAGGAUUAGAUACCCUGGUAGUCCACGCCGUAAACGAUGAGUGCUAAGUGUUAGGGGGUUUCCGCCCCUUAGUGCUGCAGCUAACGCAUUAAGCACUCCGCCUGGGGAGUACGACCGCAAGGUUGAAACUCAAAGGAAUUGACGGGGACCCGCACAAGCGGUGGAGCAUGUGGUUUAAUUCGAAGCAACGCGAAGAACCUUACCAAAUCUUGACAUCCUUUGACAACUCUAGAGAUAGAGCCUUCCCCUUCGGGGGACAAAGUGACAGGUGGUGCAUGGUUGUCGUCAGCUCGUGUCGUGAGAUGUUGGGUUAAGUCCCGCAACGAGCGCAACCCUUAAGCUUAGUUGCCAUCAUUAAGUUGGGCACUCUAAGUUGACUGCCGGUGACAACCGGAAGAAAGUGGGGGAUGACGUCNAAUCAUCAUGCCCCUUAUGAUUUGGGCUACACACGUGCUACAAUGGACAAUACAAAGGGCAGCGAAACCGCGAGGUCAAGCAAUCCCAUAAAGUUGUUCUCA
rnacentral:rRNA from 1 species